rnacentral:lncRNA from 1 species
CUAAUGCCCAUUGUUUGUAGUGAAGGCUUUCUACACUUCAUUCAUUCAAAAAAUGUUGAGCUCUUCUAUUCGGUAAGCACUGUACUGGGCCCUCUGCCACAUACUUUGUGUUAGCAAUGAAACAUGACAGAUGAAGCCUCUUCCUUCAGGGAGUGUCUCCAUUCUAAUGGAGACAGUCAAUUACAAACAAGUAAAGACAUUAUUAUUAAUUAGGUGGUAAUGAGUGUUAUGGAGGAGACUGAAGAGAUAAGGGGAGGCAAAGCAACGGGAGGUGUCAUCUCAGGUAUGGGAGAAAGUGCUUUUCAUGCAGAGACUCAAGUGAAGGGAAGGAUAGCAGUUUAGGACAGAUCUGGAGGAAGCACAUUCCAGGUCUUGUGGCAGGAAGGAGCUUGAGUGUUUGAGAACCAGUAAGGAUGUCAUUGUGGCUGAAGAGAAAGAGAGGAGGGGUGAGUUGAAGAGGUGGACAGGAUGCAGGUCAUCACUGAAUUGAUGAAAAAGAAAUAGGAAGAAUUAGCUUUGACCUGGGAAUCAAGUGGACAGGAUUUGGAUCCAGGGUCCUGUGUACUGCCUUCACCCUCUGAGCACAGGGAACUCGAUUCUUUCUGAGUCUCUGUUUCUUAUCUACAGAAACUGGGUAGAAAGCCCAGGCCGAGUCCCUCUUGGGGUUGGUGAAGAGACUGAACAAUUAUGCCAGCAAAAAGGGCUGAUGGCAGAAGCAAUUCAAACUUGGGAGUGUAAAGUGUCCACUUCAAGCCUGCAGGGACAAUGUCCUACAUCCCAUGAGUGCAGUUAGCGGGGAUAGGAGCUGCAGAAGGAGCAAAGUUCAUAGGCACAGUAGUUCCUUUGAACACCUUGUCCUGGGCCCUAAGGAAGUGAGUCUUCCAGUGUCUACUAGAUAUGGGUCCAAGUCUAACUCCUUGCCUCAGAGCUUGGUAGUUAGAUGGGGGAGACCUCAAUGAUCACAUGAUAAAAAUACUUAUUUUAUGGUUAUAUUUAAAAAUUCAUAGUGUGUCAGGAU